CUACGGGCUGCACCAGUUAGGGAUAUUCGGCAAUGGGGGAAACCCUGACCGAGCAAUGCCGCGUGAAUGAAGAAGUAUUUCGAUAUGUAAAGUUCUGUUGUUAAGGAAGAAAGGUACGAAUAGGAAAUGAUUCGUAAUUGACGGUACUUAACCAGAAAGCCCCUGCUAACUACGUGCCAGCAGCGGUAAUACGUAGGGGGCGAGCGUUAUCCGGAAUUAUUGGGCGUAAAGGGUGCGUAGGCGGCCUGUCAAGUCCGAGUUGAAAGCCCACGGCUUAACCGUGGAGGGUGCUCGGAAACUGAUAGGCUUGAAUCCAGAAGAGGCAAGUGGAAUUCUAUGUGGAGCGGUGGAAUGCGUAGAUAUAUGGAGGAACACCAGUGGCGAAGGCGGCUUGCUGGGCUGGUAUUGACGCUGAUGCACGAAAGCGUGGGGAGCAAACAGGAUUAGAUACCCCCGUAGUC
rnacentral:rRNA from 1 species